rnacentral:rRNA from 1 species
GAUGAACGCUGGCUACAGGCUUAACACAUGCAAGUCGAGGGGAAACGCCGGGGAAGCUUGCUUCCCCGGGCGUCGACCGGCGCACGGGUGAGUAACGCGUAUCCAACCUGCCUCUGACUGAGGGAUAACCCGUCGAAAGUCGGCCUAAUACCUCAUGGCAUCGUCUGCGGGCAUCCAACGACGAUUAAAGAUUUCAUCGGUCAGAGAUGGGGAUGCGUCUGAUUAGCUUGUUGGCGGGGUAACGGCCCACCUAGGCGACGAUCAGUAGGGGUUCUGAGAGGAAGGUCCCCCACAUUGGAACUGAGACACGGUCCAAACUCCUACGGGAGGCAGCAGUGAGGAAUAUUGGUCAAUGGGCGAGAGCCUGAACCAGCCAAGUAGCGUGCAGGAUGACGGCCCUAUGGGUUGUAAACUGCUUUUAGGCGGGGAUAAAGUGAGGGACGUGUCCUUCAUUGCAGGUACCGCAUGAAUAAGGACCGGCUAAUUCCGUG